UGAGCUCAGGCAAGGCUACCCGCUGAACUUAAGCAUAUCACAUCAAUGAUGUGCAAGGCAACCGAAAAAGGGUUGUCUAGUCUGGCUAUUGUGGGAUUACACCCACAACCCAGGCAACACCGUCAAAUUGCCGGA
rnacentral:rRNA from 1 species